rnacentral:rRNA from 1 species
UACGAAGGGGGCUAGCGUUGUUCGGAUUUACUGGGCGUAAAGCGCACGUAGGCGGAUCGUUAAGUCGGGGGUGAAAUCCUGGAGCUCAACUCCAGAACUGCCUUCGAUACUGGCGAUCUUGAGUCCGGAAGAGGUGAGUGGAACUCCUAGUGUAGAGGUGGAAUUCGUAGAUAUUCGGAAGAACACCAGUGGCGAAGGCAGCACUCUGGGACGGUACUGACGCUGAGACGCGAAAGCGUGGGGAGCAAACAGG